rnacentral:misc_RNA from 1 species
GAUGAGAACGCAGCGAAAUGCGAUAAGUAAUGUGAAUUGCAGAAUUCAGUGAAUCAUCGAAUCUUUGAACGCACAUUGCGCCCGCCAGCACUCUGGCGGGCAUGCCUGUUCGAGCGUCAUUUCAACCAUCAAGCCCCCAUGGGCUUGUGCUGGGGCCCUGCGGCUGCCCGCAGGCCCUGAAAACCAGUGGCGGGCUCGCUAGUCACACCGAGCGCAGUAGCACAUCUCGCUCAGGGCGUGCGGCGGGCUCCUGCCGUGAAACCCCCCACUGUAACCCCAAAGGUUGACCUCGGAUCAGGUAGGAAUACCCGCUGAACUUAAGCAUAUCAAUAAGCGGAGGA